rnacentral:rRNA from 1 species
UGGGGAAUUUUGGACAAUGGGCGAAAGCCUGAUCCAGCAAUGCCGCGUGUGUGAAGAAGGCCUUCGGGUUGUAAAGCACUUUUGUCCGGAAAGAAAUCCUUGGCUCUAAUACAGUCGGGGGAUGACGGUACCGGAAGAAUAAGCACCGGCUAACUACGUGCCAGCAGCCGCGGUAAUACGUAGGGUGCAAGCGUUAAUCGGAAUUACUGGGCGUAAAGCGUGCGCAGGCGGUUUGCUAAGACCGAUGUGAAAUCCCCGGGCUCAACCUGGGAACUGCAUUGGUGACUGGCAGGCUAGAGUAUGGCAGAGGGGGGUAGAAUUCCACGUGUAGCAGUGAAAUGCGUAGAGAUGUGGAGGAAUACCGAUGGCGAAGGCAGCCCCCUGGGCCAAUACUGACGCUCAUGCACGAAAGCGUGGGGGAGCAAAACAGGAUUAGAUACCCCUGGUAGUCCACGCCCUAAACGAUGUCAACUAGUUGUUGGGGAUUCAUUUCCUUAGUAACGUAGCUAACGCGUGAAGUUGACCGCCUGGGGAGUACGGUCGCAAGAUUAAAACUCAAAUGAAUUG